GCUGGGGAAGGGGAAGCAGGAGGGGUGAGGAAAACGUGCCCAGGGGACUGAGGAAAUGAGGAUGAAGCGCCCUCCCAGGACAUCUUACCUACCAGAGGCUGCCGAUUUCUGAUACCCGGCAAUUUGCACGCUCCCGGGAAGCAUGUGCUUGUGAAAUGUUUCGUGAACGAAGGAAAGAGGUGUAGCUGCCCAGAUUCCUGCUGCGGCCCCAGGGAACCUUGCGGUGUUUCCCAAUCCCGCCAGAAGUGGAGUAAAGUUGUGUUUGA